rnacentral:rRNA from 1 species
UACAGAGGAGCCAAGCGUUGUCCGGAUUGACUGGGCGUAAAGCGCACGCAGGCGGCACCGUGCGUGGGGUGUGAAAUCUGGCCGCUUAACGGCCAGGCGCCAUCCCAUACGGCGGAGCUGGAGUGAUGCAGAGGUCGAUGGAAUUGCCGGUGUAGUGGUGAAAUGCGUAGAUAUCAGGAGGAACACCGGUGGCGAAGGCGGCUAUCUGGACAGAGUCUGACGCUGAGGCGCGAAAGCUAGGGGAGCAAACAGG